ACUUGUGCCACUUGGUCUAAUUUGUAUAGAUUGUAUAUUUCCGAGGAUGUGAUGGGCGGUAAGAUCGCGGGGGCGCACGCGCUACGAGCAAGACGGCGACCUAAGGAAGGGACAUCGAGGGAAAACCGACGACCACACACCACCCGGCAGCCAAAAAAAAAAGUGCAGGUACCGACAAACUUCUCGCUUACUGUUCACCCCGAGCAAUACACACCCAGUUUUCUUACUGCACGGAAAGGAAGUUAAGACGCAUUGUUUUCGUUCUUUGGGAUCUGCCUGCUCCCCAUUUUCCUUUUUAAUUUCGUCGGCGGAAUAGAGGAGCGAGCGAGGGAGGAGAGAGGGUGCGGCGGGGUAGGGAGAGGGACGAGCAGGGGAGUAGAGGAGAAAGGAGCUACGGCCUAGGGGACGGAGAGGCUGGAUCCGGUCUCGGAGCGGCCGUCGAGGGGGUUCAGCCGCGGGCGAUCGACGACCACACCUCGGCUCGAAGAGACUGCCGCUGCCGCUGCCGCUGUUCGAACAGGUCCAGCAGUACCGGCCGCUGCUGCUUGCCCUCCCGCCUCCACAAAGGUACCGGUGGAAACGGCUCUCGAGCGUGUAGAAGUUGGGAGUCGGUACAAUCAAAACCCCACCGAUAAAAAACCUAGGCGACGACGGCACGCGGCACGCAGACCUAGUCCGCGUCCAGCGGCGGUAUCCUCUCGUCCCACCGCACCAGAAACACCACCCGUACCUCGUUCCCUCCUACUCCGCGACCAUACUCCUUUCCUCGUCCUUCCAGCCUCAAGGUCCGCCACGACCGGCAGCAGUGUACAGGGGUCAGAUCUAGAUUCUUUUUUCUCUUCCCCUACUUAGACCUCCUUCUCGAACCACUUCUUGUUCCACAAGCAUUACCGUUGCCACCAUUAGUUGCUACUCUUUUUUCCUGGCUCUAACAUAAACAUGAUCGUCCACUACGGAAUUAAAUCAAGUACCGUAAUACCGCCCUACGUACACCAUUUACCAAUGUUACCACCGAGUACCUCAAUUUUAAAACACAAGACAUGUCUAAACUCUACUAUCUUUAAGUUUUAUCUAGUACUGGUGUCGAACGCCUCAAAGUUUUAGAUUAUAGAGAUUAAAGGCGUAGUUCGAUUCACCAGGGCAACAAAUCGUACAUCCGUGAAAGAUAAACAACGAAGUUACAUUACAAAUUCCAACAACGAAAUUGUUACAAACUAGAUCUAAUAGUCAUUUUGUGUGAGUGUUAAUCCACAAGAAGGAACCAAUCGACGAACGUAAAGAAUACAAACUAACCAAGUUCGGUCAUACUGAGAAAAAGAAACGGAAAGUGUCCCCAGGAAACGAUGACAACCAACACAGGAACGAAGAACCUCUCCUCCCUCCCGUUUACUGAAACUACGGUCUUUAUCUCCUCCUUGUAUUCCAGUUCAUAGGUACAACAAACCAUGGAAUGUCUUCUACGUAAUGCGUUACCAGAGCCGUUGACGUCGCUCUAAAGUGUCAGUGCUAAAAAGGUAUAACCAUACCUAAGAUUUUGGAAUAUCCUUUUACGGUAGAAAGUGUUUUACUUUGAUACGGAUGUCUCGACGACUCCCUACGGGACAUCACCUGACCGACUCUGACAGCUCGUAGUCCAACGUUUAGAGGUCUCCAUGUUCCCCGAGUAACCAUCGGACCGGACGAAAACCAUAUAGUUACUCCUGUAGGGACUGCAUUUAAGCAAAGCACUGUCACCCACUAACUCUUUCCUCGGGUUCGUCUUCCGUCUUGUGUCUACCUCGUCAACUGAACAAGAACAAGUAAAGGGAAAGGCGUUGCUUAUCUUAGGUUAAUUAAUUAAACCCACAUACGACUAACUCUAUCAAUUAGUUAACCCAUACAUCUGGUACCACAACCAUCGUACCCCACCGGUGUAGGUCGCUCCCACCGCAAGACACCUAAACCGCGGGGGGUAGGGUCGUCGUGUACCCUCGGCCACAGAAGCCCUUCUCGACCCAGAGGAACGGCCGCUGGAGUGGUAGAACGGUCGCUGAAGUGGAAGUGGUCGGGUAGAUGUCUUUUAACCGACGCAAGUGUUAUCACUACACUACCUCGAUUACUCUCCCGAGUAUUUAGUCGAAUCACUCGAAUAUAGAACCAACCCGUGUGUCCUGGAACCAGGCUCCUCGAACCCUGAAAGGGUGUUGAACAGAUCUAUGUUCGACUUUAAGUCAGGAUUUUUCCACUCAGUUAUGACACUAAUCAAGUGAACCGACUUGGUACAAUCAUGUCUCGAUUUAUAGGUAUCUUUUGUACGUUUCAAAGACUAUCUAGAAUAAGUCUACAACAUUUGCUGUAGUUGAUCUACGAAAAACAGCUAUAACGUAAUAAUGGUUUAUUUUGUUUAUUUUAUUACACCGAAACACCAAACUCUGACUAUGACUAUGAAGUAUAAUCAACGAUUUUUAUACACGAAGUCAUAAACUGAUGAACACGCUCCCACGUGUACAUUCGGCACUACCCAAAGAUCUCAUCCAAUACAGAGGUAAUACUUUAAAAGGUAUGGUACGUUAUUGGACGAUUUUUACCUAUAAGAGUUUAUCAUGAUUCUUUUAUCAUAACAAAGAUAAAUAAAAUUAUACUCGCGGAGAUAAAUCUCCUAAGAUACAGAUUAAUAAGUUUCAAGAUUAUAUACUUCUAUAUACGAGUAGAAAUAAAACAAACUACGUAAAGAGUAACUCUUUGACCUUAUACUUUGAUAAUAAUAGAUAGUCCACUCCUUAAGUACCCGAACAUUGUACCUUUUUAUUAACAUUCACAUCAAAGUCCAUUCUUGUACGGCUUAUAUUGUCGGCUUCUUCCUUCCCUGUACUCCGACAUUACAGAAAAAAUAAGGGUAAGGAAAGUCCUUCAGUGUCGAUCCUCACCACCCACCUGUAUAUUGACAGACAAUCGGGAAAAUACACAAAGACUUACUUCACCCUUGAUUACGAUCUAAGAAAAGGACUAUGUAUUAAUUAUACAUGUGAAUGGUGUGAUAGCACUAGUGUUUACAAAUGUUGACAGACUUAGCACACUAACGUUUCAUCUUGGGUGUACUAACUAUGACUGCUACAUUACACAAUAGUCGUCAUAUAGAGUUAAAACUUACACUGUACAUGACAUACAUAUACGUUUUUAACUCGAAAAACAGUUGGAGAUACAACGGACUCAAAGGUUGAAAAAACGAACGAGGCUAGGAAGUAACACGAACAAUCGUUAUGAUGUGAAACAAUAAAAGUGUUCCUCACAUCAAGGUACUUUGCACUUUAAAAUAAUACAAUCCACAUGUAAAAUGGAUACCGUGAUUGGAGAAAAUAAACAGAUACAUUACUGGUAUACGUAUUUAUCAGCUUUUACCACAAACUUAUGAAGUAAAAAUCAACUAAGAAUGAUACGUGGACUUACCAAAGAUUUUAAAUUUUAAUAAUUUCUUUGUGUUAAACAAAGUUUUGUGUAACCUAAACUUAAACCUGGAACGCGGUGAACCGAGAUCGAUACAAUGUACUUAUUCUAUUGUUUUAUACGUACGAGUUCAUAUGUAAAAGUUUCUAGGAAGUAAAAAGUAGAAUUUCCCAAACUUCAUCAUGGGAUUCACCAACGAUUUUGGAUGAAGAUGAUUACUUCAGUUUAAUAAAGUUUUGUGAAGCCCAAACUGUACCAGAAACCCGAACGAGUUUGUACUUCAAUAACUUUUUUACUCUAAAGGAACUAUAUACCAAGAUGUUCACACAGUAUACCUGGUUACUUUCGUUUCUAUAAGGCCUCUAUUAUUGAUAUACCCGAUGAGGUUUACCAGACUCUCACCUUGGUUGUGGAAAAUAUCCGGAAGUUCAUGGACACACCUUCAGAUGGUACGUUCGUAAUAGGCUGCUGACCGUGAGACGAAAAAGCAUGUAUAGGAGACUUCUGGUACUAGUCUGAUUCUUCUACGGAUUUAUACGACACUCCGACGGAUAUAUAUUCACAUAAAGACAUUUAACUAUAGUCAGUAAGAUGAUAGACAUUUGGUUAAAUUCAGUAAGAUGAUAGACGUUAUGUUAGGGGUAAUGUAAUAGAAAAGUAGAUGUAAAGAAUGAAUAAGAAGUGAUUGUAACGAAGAUUAACCGAAGAACGCGGUAACCGCGUUGGCCCAGUAGAUCAUACUGAUAUACUUCCUAUACUAAGUUCCAGUUGUUGUUCCGGUACAAAUGUCAUUUCUUUAGAAGAAGACCAUUGGCUUCUUCUAAUUUCCGUGUCUGAAGAAUGGUAGUGACGAUGGUGAUAAUAACAAACCGG
rnacentral:rRNA from 1 species